rnacentral:lncRNA from 1 species
UUGUAAGUGACAAGCAGCGAGCAGGUGAUUCAUGGUCACCUUUACCUCACUGUUUUGUUACAGACAUGGGUGUAACUCUCCUCUGCUGGGAAAGAGAAACUUGAAGCAAUAUGAGAAAGUUGAUGUGGUCCUGCCUGGUGUGUUAUUUGGAUGUUGUUCUCAAUGUUGUCAAACGAAACUUGAAGAACGUGUUUUAGAAGAGAAAACAAAAUUUGGGAUUUCAUUGUUCUGAAAAAGUCUGAGGUAGUAAAAAUAAAACGCUGCUGGACAACA